GCGGCAACAGCUCAAAUUUGAAAUCUGGCCCCAGGCCCGAGUUGUAAUUUGCAGAGGAUGCUUUUGGCGCGGUGCCUUCCGAGUGCCCUGGAACGGGACGCCACAGAGGGUGAGAGCCCCAUCUGGUUGGACACCAAGCCUAUGUAAAGCUCCUUCGACGAGUCGAGUAGUUUGGGAAUGCUGCUCUAAAUGGGAGGUAUAUGUCUUCUAAAGCUAAAUACCGGCCAGAGACCGAUAGCGCACAAGUAGAGUGAUCGAAAGAUGAAAAGCACUUUGAAAAGAGGGUUAAAUAGUACGUGAAAUUGUUGAAAGGGAAGCGCUUAUGACCAGACUUGGGCCCGGUGAAUCAUCCAGCGUUCUCGCUGGUGCACUUUGCCGGGCACAGGCCAGCAUCAGUUCGCCGCGGGGGAUAAAGGCUUCGGGAAUGUGGCUCCCUCGGGAGUGUUAUAGCCCGUUGCACAAUACCCUGGGGCGGACUGAGGUUCGCGCAUCUGCUAGGAUGC
rnacentral:rRNA from 1 species